rnacentral:tRNA from 1 species
AGAAAUUUAGGUUAAAUAGACCAAGAGCCUUCAAAGCCCUAAGUAAGUGAAUUCACUUAAUUUCUG